ACAGUUUCUCAGCUGUGAAGUUCAUAAAAUCAAGGAUGAAGAGGACAAAAAAAAAAAAAAAAGCCUCAAAAAUCUGCCUCUACUCAAAGGCACAAGGGCUUAAAGAGCUGUUUUGCUGUUUCAGCUUCUGAUGGUGAAUUUUGAUGACUCAAAUAUUAAGAGAACAGCCUGUGGGGAAAAAAGAAAAUUGUAAGUAAGACAGUGUUUCAUUAUAAUAAUUUGUAAUUUCAUAGACUUUGGUCACAUGUAGCAGAAUUUCCAGCUGCUCCCAAUAAUAGAUGGUCCAUCAUGGGAUUUUUUAUUAUUAUUAAAUAAGUGGUAGUUUAACUUGUUCUAUCCGUACAAGUAGACUAAGUUGGAAUAAUUUAAUUUAAAUCUGGGGAUUCAUUAGGUGGCAUUGUAAUCUCAUUCCCUGAAAGGACUGCGUAUUCCCAUCGUGACCUAUCUGGAGGCUCGGAGGACAUUUGCAUAUAAAUUUGUUGCCUAAUCCAGCUUCCCUAGUUAUGCUGCAUCAACUCAAUUCUAUGCAGCACGAUACUAUUAUUUAAACAAGAAAUUCAUAAACUCUGGAGACUAAAGAAGAGAAAUGCACACACCAGUCUUCUGUUUGCCAAAUCGGUACGUUCCUUAUUCAUUUGCAAUUCUGAAGUACGAAUAUAUGGACCAGGUCCAGUCCAAGUGCUUUUGUUUUCACAUUUUACUUUUACCUACUGUUGUUUCUGUAAGAGCUUGGGCUUCUUUUAAAGGAGAAUGUUUUAAGCAGAGUUACAUGCAGAUGUAACUUAGAUGCACUGGAUAAACCGCCUGAUCAGCAAGCACUUCUUUCUUCAGGACUGGCUAACAAUUCUCCCUCUUGAAUUCCUCUUUUUCUCAAAACUUCAUCAAUUUCUCAAAAAACAAAGCAAAACAAAAAUAAAAAUCCUCUUUUUCAGGCUUGUUAAUAGAGCACACAGCAACCUCAUGAGACUACUCAUACUUUACCCAAACAUUAAUACCCUCAAUUCACAGUUGCUACAAGGAAUCUUUUCUGUUCCCUGCCUUCUUUUUCAUCGGCUUAAACAUUUGUUCUCUAAUUUACCAACUCUUUACUAUGUUAGCAUGGAGCAUUCCACAAACAGCUCUCUCCAUAUUUACUGGGGCUCACAUUCGCACAGUACUACUGAGUGCUCCAUUCCAAGUCAGCUUUAGACAAACCAAAGCAAUACUCAGAAUGCGGCCCUACUGCUAACUCCAAAUAUCAGAUAUCUGCAGAUAUUCACAGGUGGCAACACAUGAGGAUUCCAAAUAUAGAAAGAACAUUUUUAGUUUUCUCUGCAGCCACAUUCCACAUUCAGUUUCAAUUAGUUCUGCAAAACAAGCACUUCCUGCCUCUUCAGACACUUCUGCUUCUAGCAGAAACUAAUCAUCAGGCUGACAAGAGGAGCUGUGUUCAUUCUGCACUGACCAGGAAUAUGUUCCUAGGAAGGGCAUAGCUACUGGAGCACAUGCUGCACUUUAGCUCAAAAACUCUUUUGUAGUACAAAUCAAACACAAAAGAACUCUAAAAAUGAGAAAUAAAACUUGAUUUUGUCAGGAAUCAAUUAAUGUUUUCCUUGAGAAAGCCUAAAUCUUUCAAAGUUGCUUUGCCACAGAGCGCAAGCUAGAAAAUUCAUACACGCUUUGCCUUGGUUUUAUUCAGGAGACCUGCCAAGGUUCCUUGCUGGCAGAAGCUUGCAUGUAAGACUUGCUGUAAAUUUACAGAAAGAAUGAGUCAAAAUGAGUAGAUGCAAACAGAUAGUUGGCUAGCAUCCUUACACACACAUCCAAGAACUGCUAACUGCGGUUAGCAAAAAUCUCUUUAGCAAGAUGAGGCAUAGCGAAGUACACACAGAAAUCUAAGUAAUACAGGUCAAAUCUCUGAUAAAAGAAAAGCAACAUUCUCUCUUCUCAGCACUUGUGCAGGCUAACAGGACACGAAACAGCUCACAAGAAGGAUGAAUAGUGAUAGAAAUGAAUAGUUCAGAGGAUGAGCAGAAAGAAUUCACUGGUGGAAACUGAAAGAAAAUGGGCCUCAGCAAAGAAAAUCUAGGGAGUAACCAGUGUAACUCUUGACCUAUGAGCUACUUUUUUGGCUCCCUCACCUACAAGGAGGUGAGGACGCGAUAGCUGCAUUGUGCAGAUUUUAAUUCUGGAGUUUUAAAAAGCAAGAAACAAAUGCCUCAAAAUCUCAAAAAAAAAGGCUCAAAAUGUAAGAGAAUGGUGUCACAGGAAGAAAAAAACAGAAGCUGGUUUAUGAAGACUAAAGUGAAAAUUGGAAUAUUUUACUCAGUUACCAUUUUUUCUGAUAUAUACCUUCUUUUUUUAUUGACACUUUUGGUCCUAUCACACCAAACAGGGACAAGAAGUAUAUGUGCCACUAAUAUAAUAGAGAAUAAUUCCAGUGUAAAAAAGUUUUCAGUCAAAUAUUCAAAACAAGCAGGACUAAGGUAAAGGGUUGCAACAGAUUAAAAUCAGAGAACUGACAUUUAAUAGCCAGUUUUCAUAUGGAGAUUUUUUUUAGCAUUUAAAAUUCAAGGUAGUAAGUUUUCUGUGUUCCUGUAACUAGUCUUCCAAUGUAACGCCUAUGCUAAGGCUUGUAAUUUCUAUGUUGAGAUAAUGUACUUAAUAGCUGUUCGGUAUACACAGUUUAGGUUGGCAAGGUGUAAUUAGCAGCAAGUUUUAUACUCUAAUUUUGUGUCCCAAAAUCCGUAACUGCUCCAUGGUCCAAUUACUGAAAUACUAAACUCCAUCACUUUAGUGAAGCGUACAGGAAAUGUUGAGUCACAGCCUGAAGCGCUGAUUGAGCACCUGCAGAAAGGACCUGGUCAGCCCUGGGAGCACAGGUGAAGGCAAUGCAGCUGUGUGACUGGAAGUCACGGAGCCUGGGUGCACCUCUCUUAGAUCCAUUUAAGGGCUGACUGCCACAGGGGAAGAUUUCUUCCCGGAGAACUCUCUCUGGUGGAGCUUUCCUCUGUGAACCUGGAAUCUUCUGAUAUGGGUGCCAAGCAUUUAAUGAUGUUGCAGCUAAUCGUGCAAAGGUCCUUCUUUGAGAGACUUAAUGGUACUCCACCAUCUGUGUGACAAGAGAGGGGACUCCACAUUGCGUUGCAUUCUUUGUGAGAGCUUCUAGAGGAGCACCAAAUGCUCUUUCUCUGCUGAACUGUGGGUCUGGUGAAACUUUACUUGUUGUGUGCCUGACUUGAAUAGAAGAUAAUGAUUUCUGGGGAAUUAAAACAGGCAAGAUAGAAGAAGUAGUUGAUUUUCCUUCAUUUUAAGGUUGAAGAGUCAAACAUUUUAGUUAUAAUUAUUGUGCUCAUUAGAAUCAUGGAAUAUCCAGAACUGAAAGGAACCCACAAGGAACACUGAGAUCAACUCUUGAGGCUCCACAAAGGACCAUCCAAAAUCAAGCUCCGUUUCUGAGAUCAUCAUCUAAAACCCCCCUGAUCUCUGGCCAUCCUGGGGCCCUGAUCACAGCUCUGGGAAUCUUUUUCCAUGCCCACCGCCCUCUGGUGCAAAACUUCUUCCUGAUACUCAACCUGCCCCUCCCCUGACACAGCUACACACUGUUCCUUCAGGCCCUGUCACUGUCACGGAGAGCAGAGCUCGGCGCUGCCCCUCCGCUGCAUUUGAGGAGCUGCAGCUGCCAUGAGGUCUCCCCUCAGCUCCUCUGCUCUGGGUUGAGCAAACAAACGGACUCUGUUGCUCUUCAUACAUCUUGCCUUACAGAUCUUUAACCUUCACAGCCUUCCCUUGGAAGCUCUCUAAUAGUCUUGUAUCCCUCUGAUGUUGCAGCGCACAGUGCCCAAGGUGAGACUGCACCAGCUCACAGUAGAGGCUCUUUGCACAUGUUUUACCUCCAUUGCACAUUCCUAACAUUGUAGACUGUUAAUAUCUUCCUUCUUUAGAGCUGAGAUAGGACCUGUGAACACUUUAACCAUAAAAAUCCAGAUACAGGUGGUGUUUGAAGAGCCCUGGAGAGCAGCAGCAUGGAGCUGUCAGCCCUGCAGAGCCAGGAGCUCACUCAGCUAAUGCUUAUUGUGGUUUCCACACAUAGACAUGCCUAUAACUGCACAUAGACACAUAGACACAACCUAACGCUACAGUUCAGCAAGAAAUCCAACCGUGCAAGCUUAAAACAUAGAGGGCUGUGAGUAGUAGCUGUAGGUCUCUUGGGAGGUCCUAGUGGCGGGGCCUUCACCACAGCCUGCUGAUGAGAAGAGCAGCAUGGCACAGCAGCAGUCGUUCUGAGUUCCACAAGCCUCCCAUUGCUUCUGUAUUCAAAUCCAGGUGGCCACAAGUCAGAAGCUUAACCUGAAGCCCUGAAAGGUACAUGUGCUAUUUAUGUCAGCUGUUCCAUGAGAACACUCCUGAGCAUUGCUAUAACCACACCAGCCUCCCUGGCAAUCAAACCUUCUGCUUUGGAAACUGGGUUCCUGUGUAAUGCAGACGCAGCAUUACCUCAGCUACCAAAAUACACAAAGCCAGGAGCCUCAAGCACCAACUGUCCCCUUCCCUCCUGUUCUCUUGCUCCUAAGUAAUGCAAACUUAACCCCUACAUUCAGCAUAUUAAAUCCAAACAAAUGCAACUUUCCACAAACCCUAGCUAAUGGAAACCCAUAUUCUCAGCACAUAUGCUGACACACUCUUAGCCACACACACCACACCUAAUGUGUGAAAGCACAUCGUGUUUGUAGCAGUACCCAACCAAACCCAAAGUUUGCUGCAGGCACCUGCUAUCAGCACACUUCUCUGUCCACAGACUGACCUCUGAAUUUCCGAGAAAAAUACAAGUAGAAAUCAACCAGUAUCAGACCUAGCAAAG